rnacentral:rRNA from 1 species
UACGGAGGGAGCUAGCGUUGUUCGGAAUUACUGGGCGUAAAGCGCACGUAGGCGGCUUUCUAAGUCAGGGGUGAAAUCCCGGGGCUCAACCCCGGAACUGCCCUUGAAACUGGAUGGCUAGAAUCUUGGAGAGGCGAGUGGAAUUCCGAGUGUAGAGGUGAAAUUCGUAGAUAUUCGGAAGAACACCAGUGGCGAAGGCGACUCGCUGGACAGGUAUUGACGCUGAGGUGCGAAAGCGUGGGGAGCAAACAGG